rnacentral:rRNA from 1 species
UACGUAGGGGGCAAGCGUUGUCCGGAAUCAUUGGGCGUAAAGAGCGUGUAGGCGGUCCUGUAAGUCCGCUGUGAAAGUCAAGGGCUCAACCCUUGAAUGCCGGUGGAUACUGCAGGACUAGAGUCCGGAAGAGGCGAGUGGAAUUCCUGGUGUAGCGGUGAAAUGCGCAGAUAUCAGGAGGAACACCGAUGGCGAAGACAGCUCGCUGGGACGGUACUGACGCUGAGACGCGAAAGCGUGGGGAGCAAACAGG